AAACGAUCAGUUGUAAUUUUUAUCUGGAGCUCUCAAGUCAGGCCAAACAGGACUGAAAAUCUCUGAAUAAAAAUACAAUAUCCAAAUUCCAAUUAAACACCUAAAGUUUUUUCCGUUUCUUAAUCCGUGAAGCCUAGCAACAUUAUGUGCGGUUAUGGGUGCGGUCCCUAUGGCUAUGGACCCUCGGGUCCUUGCGGACCUUGGUGCGGACCCUGGUGUGGUCCUUGUGCCCUCUCGCUGGGACCCUGUAGCUACUCCUGCUGCGGCGGACCCAAAGGAUGCGGACCGAGUGGACCGGCCUGUUGGCCGUAUGGCUUGUACACCUGCUAGGCUUCAGAAGGAUGUCAGAAACGUGUGAGCCAUUCCCCAAGAAAUGUAAUACUGCUUGGACCAUGACUUUGGAUAAAAUAAUAAAAAUAAGUGCUCGUUCUUCUCAUUAAAUAUCAUAA